rnacentral:rRNA from 1 species
GACGAACGCUGGCGGCGUGCUUAACCCAUGCAAGUCGAACGGAAAGGCCCUGCUUGCAGGGUACUCGAGUGGCGAACGGGUGAGUAACACGUGGGUGAUCUGCCCUGCACUUCGGGAUAAGCCUGGGAAACUGGGUCUAAUACCGGAUAGGAGCCAUUUUUAGUGUGAUGGUUGGAAAGUUUUUUCGGUGUAGGAUGAGCUCGCGGCCUAUCAGCUUGUUGGUGGGGUAAUGGCCUACCAAGGCGGCGACGGGUAGCCGGCCUGAGAGGGUGGACGGCCACAUUGGGACUGAGAUACGGCCCAGACUCCUACGGGAGGCAGCAGUGGGGAAUAUUGCACAAUGGGCGCAAGCCUGAUGCAGCGACGCCGCGUGGGGGAUGACGGCCUUCGGGUUGUAAACUCCUUUCGCUAGGGACGAAGCUUUUUGUGACGGUACCUAGAUAAGAAGCACCGGCUAACUACGUG